AACGAACGCUGGCGGCGUGGCUAAGGCAUGCAAGUCGAACGGAUCUAUCCAACGGGUAACUGAAGGGUAGGUUAGUGGCGAACGGGUGAGGAAUACAUGGACAACGUACCCUGGACUCGGGGAGUAGCGGCGGGGCCGGCAGGGCGUCUUUAGCGAAAGUGCUGGUAAUACCCGAUGAUCCCGCAUGAUCGCAUGAUCGUGCGGGCAAAGCUCCGACGGUCUGGGAUCGGCAUGACCUAUCAGCUAGUUGGUGAGGUAACGGCUCACCAAGGCGGCGACGGGUACCGGG
rnacentral:rRNA from 1 species